GACGUAGGGGGCCAGCGUUGUUCGGAAUUACUGGGUGUAAAGGGUUCGUAGGCGGUGUGGCAAGUCGGGAGUGAAAUCUCUGGGCUCAACCCAGAGUCUGCUUCCGAAACUGCUUUGCUUGAGGCCGGGAGAGGCGAGUGGAAUUCCCAGUGUAGCGGUGAAAUGCGUAGAUAUUGGGAGGAACACCAGUGGCGAAGGCGGCUCGCUGGACCGGUUCUGACGCUGAUGCGCGAAAGCGUGGGGAGCAAACGGG
rnacentral:rRNA from 1 species